rnacentral:tRNA from 1 species
CCAACCAUAGCUCAGUUGGUAGAGCGGAGGACUGUAGAUCCUUAGGUCGCUGGUUCGAAUCCGGCUGGUUGGA